GCCAACAGUCAUAUCACCCUGCAACUCACAACUGACAACCCACUGAAGCUAAGCAGGUGUGAGCCUGGUCAGUACUUGGAUGGGAGACCUCCUGAAAAAGCUAAGGUUACUGCUGGAA
rnacentral:rRNA from 1 species